rnacentral:lncRNA from 1 species
AGCUCUAGAGAUUUUCUUUCUUGAGCCUCAUUAUCAGUGUGGGAACAAUUGGAGGCUGUUUUUUUUCAGGAGUUGCUCUUUCCAAAUCAGGGAUGGCAGACUUGCACUGGGUCUAAUCUCUCUUUCUUUCUCUGACACCCCCCCACCCCCCACCUGGGCCCUAGGAGUUUUGUUUGUAUUGCUGCAUGUUAUGAGGCAAACGUGGCUCUAGUCCAGGCCUGACUAGAGCAUACCUAAACAUCAAAAAGAUGAGCUCUACAUUCUCAAGGAAGACUUAAGACCAUGGAAAUAUGAACAAGCAUCAAGUUACCGGAUCUAACACUCUGAUUAUAUGUGGAAAAGAACAAAAUAGGUCCUCUUGGAGGUCAGGGAGCAGAAAAGGCAAUGACCCAGAGCCAAUGAACAUGAACAAGAGCAGGCCCCACCAGUCCUCAAACAGAUAUCUACAAUAAAGCUGACCUUGGGCUAGAACACUAGAAGCCAGGCUGUAGCUGAGGACAGUUUUUUGUCAUCAAGAGUUCUGCUCGAGCAUCAGCAACGGGACAAAGAGAUAUCACGUGCCUCCUGUUACAACGCCCUGAGGACCCGACAUCGCUUCGGUGGGAUUCUUGAGAAAAGCGCAUAAUAAUGAUAAAACAUCAGGGAAAAAACAAACAAAAAAAGAAGACAUUCUACAAAUUAAUU